ACGACCUCAGAUCAGGACGUGGCGACCCGCUGAAUUAGCUCAUUACUAGCGGAGGAAAGAAAUAACAGGUUCCCUCAGUAACGGCGAGUGAGAGGGAGAGCCAGCGCGAACCCCGUCCGGCGCAGGGCGCGGGAAAUGUGGCGUAACAGAGCCGACUCCUCGCGUCGCUCAGGGGGCCCAAGUCCUUCUGAUCGAGGCUCCCCAUGGCGGUGUUAGGCGGUAGCGGCCCCCCGGCGCCCGGGAUCGGGUCUUUCCGAGUCGGGUUGCUUGGAAUGCAGCCCAAAGCGGUGGAAAACUCCAUCUAGGCUAAAUACGGGCGCGAGACCGAUAGCCAAAGUACCGUAGGGAAAGUUGAAAGCUUGAGAGAGAGUUCAAGAGGGGUGAAACCGUCGAGAGGUACAGGUGGGGCCGUGCAGCCGCCAGAGGAUUCAAACACGGCGGGCGGUCGUCCCGAACGGCGAUCCUCGAGGGAACGCCCCGGGAGCACCCGGCCCCGCAGGCGCAUUUCCCCAUGGCGGUGCACCGCGACCGCUUCCGGUCGGCUGCAGGCCCGGGGGGCAGGUGGCUCUCGCUCGGCGGAGAGUGUUACACAGCCCCGCAGCAGUUUCGCCGUGUCCGCGGGCCGAGGGAGAUUGACCCGCCGCCCGCGCCUCUCCGCAAACGUCCCGGCCCCUCUCGGUGUCACCGGCGACGACGGGGACGGGCCCUGCUCCGUGCGACUGUCGACUGGGGUGACAUGUCCUCAGUGCGCCCGAUCGCGUCGCACCGCCGGCGGAGGCCCACCAAAGGGCGCCAGGGGUCUGCGGUGAUGUAGUUACCCAACCGACCCAUCUUGAACACGGACCAAGGAGUCUAACCGUGCGCGAGUCUUAGGGCCGAAACGAAAACUGUGGCGCAAUGAGGUGAGGGGGCUGGCGCCGGCUGAGGUGGGAUCCCGUCGCGGCGUGCGCGGCCGGGCACCCCGUCCCGUCUCGCCGCUCUGUCGGGAGGUGAGCAUGAGCGUGUGUGAUAGGAACCGAAAGAUGGUGAAACUAUGCCUGCAGGCGAAGCCAGAGGACUCUGUGAGGUCCGUAGGCGUCCCUGAGUGCAACUCGGUCGUCCCGACCUGGUAUAGGGCGAAAAGACUAAUCGAACCAUCUAGUAGCUGGUUCCUCGAAGUUUCCCUCAGAUAGCUGGCGCUCGAAACCAGUUUUAUCUGGUAAGCGAAUGAUUAGAGGUCUUGGGGCGAAACAUCCUCAACUAUUUUCAAACUUUAAAUGGGUAAGAGCCGGCUCGCUGGCGUGGAGCAGCAGCGAAUGCACGUGCCCAGUGGGCACUUUUGGUAAGCGAACUGGCGCUGCGGGAUGACCGAACGCCGGGUUAGGCCCCCGUGCCGAUGCUCAUCAGACCCAGAAGGUGUUGGUUGAUAUAGACAGCAGACGGUGGCCAAUGGAAGUCGGAUCCGCUAGGAGUGUGUAACUAACAACUCACCGCCGAAUACUAGCCUGAAAUGGAAUGGCGCUGAGCGUCGGCCCUACCCGGCCGUCGCCGCGCUGAAGCCCGCGGGGGCAAGCCGCGACGAGUAGGAGGGCCGCUGCAGUGCGCACGGGAUGCCCGGCGGAGCCCGGUGGAGCGCCGCAGGUGCAGAUCUUGGUGGUGUACAAAUAUUCAAACGGACUUGGGCGGUGGAGAAGGUCCAUGUGACAGCAGUUGAACUGGUCAGUCGGUCUAAGGAUGGGCGAGCGCGUUCGAGGGACGGGCGAUGGCCCCGUUGCCCUCAAGCCGAUCGAAGGAGUCGGUUCAGAUCCCGAACCGGGAGUGGCGGGACGGGCGCCCUCGCGGCGUCCGUGCCGGUACGCAAACGAUCCCGAGAGCGGCGGAGCCGGAAGAGUUCUCUUUUCUUUGUGAAGGGCAGGGCACCUGAUGGGUUCGCCCCACAGAGGCCGAGCCAUGAAAGCGUCGCGGUUCCGGCGGCGUCCGGUGAGCUCCGCUGGCCUUGAAAUCGGGGAGAUGGUUAAAUCCGCCCGGCCGUACCAUAUCGCAGCAGGUCUCCAAGGUGAACGCCUCUGGCUGUUGUAGGUAAGGGAAGUUGGCAAGUCAAAUCCGUACUUCGAUAAGGUUGGCUCUAAGGCUGGGCGCGGCGCGCCCGCUGGCGAGGCGUCACCCCCGGGGGCGGCGCCGACCCUGGACGCGAGCCGGGCCCUUCCUGUGGAUCGCCCAGCUGCGGUGGUGCCUCUCCCCUUCCCCUCCGGGGCUCAGGCCGGCUUCUGCCUCCCGACGCCUAGCAGCUGACUUAGAACGGUGCGGACCGGGAAUCCGAUGUUUAAUUAAACAGCAUCGCGAAGCCCGCGUGGGCGGUUGACGCGAUGUGAUUCCUGCCCGUGCUCUGAAUGUCAAAGUGAGAAAUUCAUGAACGCUGGGUAACAGCGGGAGUAACUAUGACUCUCUUAAGGUAGGCAAAAUGCCUCGUCAUCUAAUUAGUGACGCGCAUAGAAUGGAUGACGGAUUCCACUCCCUACCUCUAUUUAGCGAAACCACAGCCAACGGAAACGGGCUUAGCAGAAUCAGUGGGAAAAAGACGCCCGUUGGCUUGACUCUAGUCGGCCUGUGAAGAGAAUGAGAGGUGUAGAUAAGAGGGGCCCUCGGCCGCCGGGGAAAUACACACUCUUAUCGUUUUUCACUUACCGGUGAGCGGGGGGGCGGCCCGUGGGCUCUCGCUUCUGCUCCAGCGCCGGCGCCACGGGUGCGACCCGCUCGGGACAGUGGCAGGUGGGACAGUUUGGACUGGGGCGUACACUGUCAACGAUAACGCAGGUGUCCUAUGCGAGCUCAGGAGGACAGAAACUCCCCGGAGCAGAAGGCAAAAGUCGUUUGAUCUCGAUUUUCCGAUGAUACGACCGUGAAGGCGGGCCUCCGUCCUUCGACUUUUUGGGUUCAAGCAGGGUGUCAAAAAGUUAACCACAAGGAUACUGGCUUGUGGCGGCCAAGCGUUCAUAGCGAGUCGCUUUUGAUCCUUCGAUGUCGCUCCUCCUAUCAUUGUGAAGCAGAAUUCACCAGCGUUGGAUUGUUCACCCUAUAGGGAACGUGAGCUGUUUAAGAAGGCGUCGUGAGACAGGUUAGUUUUACCCUACUGAUGAUGUGUUGUUUGCAAUAGUAUCCUGUCAGUACGAGAGGAACGCAGUUCAGACAUUUGGUGUAUGUGCUUGCUGAGGAGCCAAUGGGCGAACUACCAUCUGUGGAAUUAUGACUGAACGCUCUAAUCAGAAUCCCCCCACCGUAACGAUACCGCAGCGCUGUGGACCUCGGUUGGCCUGGUAGCGGCUCCUGGCCGGUGCGUAGGCCGCUCGCCUCGGGACUCGAGUGGGACAGAGGGGCACCCUCUCGCCCGUAUGCACCGCAUGUUCAUGCGGAACCUGGUGCUAAAUCAUUCGUAGACGACGGAUUCUGGUCAGGGUUUCGUAAGUACGAGCGC
rnacentral:rRNA from 1 species